CCUACGGGAGGCAGCAGUGGGGAAUAUUGCACAAUGGGGGAAACCCUGAUGCAGCGACGCCGCGUGAGUGAAGAAGUAUUUCGGUAUGUAAAGCUCUAUCAGCAGGGAAGAAAAUGACGGUACCUGAUUAAGAAGCACCGGCUAACUACGUGCCAGCAGCCGCGGGAAUACGUAGGGGACAAGCGUUAUCCGGAUUUACUGGGUGUAAAGGGAGUGUAGACGGCAGCACAAGUCUGGAGUGAAAUGCCGGGGCUUAACCCCAGAACUGCUUUGGAAACUGUGCAGCUAGAGUGCAGGAGAGGUAAGUGGAAUUCCUAGUGUAGCGGUGAAAUGCGUAGAUAUUAGGAGGAACACCAGUGGCGAAGGCGGCUUACUGGACUGUAACUGACGUUGAGGCUCGAAAGCGUGGGGAGCAAACAGGAUUAGAUACCCCAGUAGUC
rnacentral:rRNA from 1 species